GACGAACGCUGGCGGCGUGCUUAACACAUGCAAGUCGAGCGGUAAGGCCCUUUCGGGGGUACACGAGCGGCGAACGGGUGAGUAACACGUGGGUGACCUGCCCUCAGCUCUGGGAUAAGCCUGGGAAACCGGGUCUAAUACUGGAUAUGACUCCAUGACGCAUGUUGUGGGGUGGAAAGCCUUGUGCGGCUGAGGAUGGGCCCGCGGCCUAUCAGCUUGUUGGUGGGGUGGAUGGCCUACCAAGGCGACGACGGGUAGCCGGCCUGAGAGGGCGACCGGCCACACUGGGACUGAGACACGGCCCAGACUCCUACGGGAGGCAGCAGUGGGGAAUAUUGGACAAUGGGCGCAAGCCUGAUCCAGCGAUGCCGCGUGUGUGAAGAAGGCCUGGCGGGUUGUAAAGCACUUUCAGUAGGGAAGAAAAGCCGAGUGCUAAUAUCACUCGGUCUUG
rnacentral:rRNA from 1 species